rnacentral:rRNA from 1 species
UGGGGAAUUUUGGACAAUGGGGGAAACCCUGAUCCAGCCAUCCCGCGUGUGCGAUGAAGGCCUUCGGGUUGUAAAGCACUUUUGGCAGGAAAGAAACGUCAUGGGUUAAUACCCCGUGAAACUGACGGUACCUGCAGAAUAAGCACCGGCUAACUACGUGCCAGCAGCCGCGGUAAUACGUAGGGUGCAAUCGUUAAUCGGAAUUACUGGGCGUAAAGCGUGCGCAGGCGGUUCGGAAAGAAAGAUGUGAAAUCCCAGAGCUCAACUUUGGAACUGCAUUUUUAACUACCGGGAUAGAGUGUGUCAGAGGGAGGUGGAAUUCCGCGUGUAGCAGUGAAAUGCGUAGAUAUGCGGAGGAACACCGAUGGCGAAGGCAGCCUCCUGGGAUAACACUGACGCUCAUGCACGAAAGCGUGGGGAGCAAACAGG